UAUAACUGGCUUCAAUGGGAACCUGCUGCCACAGUCUGUCCCAGAUACAGUCGCUGAAGGCAGGCAGCUCACUGACAGAAAUGAUGUGGAUCUUGUGCUUUCUCUGUUCCCUGGCAGUGUGGCUGGGCUAUGGACAGUGUCAGACUCUGACUCAGCCUCCACACCUGACUGUGAAACCGGGAAACACGGCCACACUGGACUGUAACAUUGGAACGGCUGAUAGCUAUUAUGUGUACUGGUACAAGCAGACACCAGGAUCAGCUCCUCAGUGGAUCCUCUAUUACCAUCACUCGGUCAGUGCGCCUACCUAUGGGUCUGGAUUUAGCAGCGACCGUUUCACAUCGACAGUCAACAGCGGCCACAACAUUUACCAGUUAAUCAUCAAAAACGUGGAGGUGAAUGAUGCCGCCGUGUAUUACUGUGGAAAGUGGUUUAGCUCGGCCAGUGCUUUUGUCUCACAGUGACAGAAGGAUCCUGGAUAACUGUGUGGACUGAACCCUAGAACAUCACACUGUGUGUGUGUUUGGGCAAGGGACCAAGCUCUUUGUUGCAGGUAAGUGGCUGAGAAUUCCCUCUGUGGAUACUGUGUGAAUUUCGGC